rnacentral:rRNA from 1 species
GGUACCGUCACAGUCUUCCGGGUAUUAACCGAUAGACCUUUCUUCCCACCUGACAGGGGUUUACAACCCGAAGGCCUUCAUCCCCCACGCGGCGUCGCUGGGUCAGGCUUGCGCCCAUUGCCCAAAAUUCCCC